UACGGGAGGCAGCAGUGGGGAAUAUUGGACAAUGGGGGGAACCCUGAUCCAGCCAUGCCGCGUGUGUGAAGAAGGCCUUAUGGUUGUAAAGCACUUUAAGCGAGGAGGAGGCUACUGAGACUAAUACUCUUGGAUAGUGGACGUUACUCGCAGAAUAAGCACCGGCUAACUCUGUGCCAGCAGCCGCGGUAAUACAGAGGGUGCGAGCGUUAAUCGGAUUUACUGGGCGUAAAGCGUGCGUAGGCGGCUUUUUUAAGUCGGAUGUGAAAUCCCCGAGCUUAACUUGGGAAUUGCAUUCGAUACUGGGAAGCUAGAGUAUGGGAGAGGAUGGUAGAAUUCCAGGUGUAGCGGUGAAAUGCGUAGAGAUCUGGAGGAAUACCGAUGGCGAAGGGCAGCCAUCUGGCCUAAUACUGACGCUGAGGUACGAAAGCAUGGGGAGCAAACAAGGAUUAGGAUACC
rnacentral:rRNA from 1 species